rnacentral:rRNA from 1 species
UAAGAGAGGUAGUGACAAGAAAUAACAAUACAAGGCAAUUAAAAUGCUUUGUAAUUGGAAUGAUAGAAAUUUAAACACUUUUUAAAGUAUCAAUUGGAGGGCAAGUCUGGUGCCAGCAGCCGCGGUAAUUCCAGCUCCAAUAGCGUAUAUUAAAAUUGUUGCAGUUAAAAAGCUCGUAGUUGAAUUUCUGUUAAAAAUAACCGGUCUGCUUUUUUUAUUAAAAGUGGUAUCAUUUUGGUGUGUUUUUAGCAAUAAUGUCCUUUGAAAAUGUUUUUUACUUUAUUGUAAUAAGUCAUUGUUUUGAGGAUUUUUACUUUGAGAAAAUUAGAGUGUUUCUAGCAGGCUUUUACGCUUUUGAAUACUGCAGCAUGGAAUAAUAAGAUAGGAUUUUAGUUCUACAUUAUUGGUUUUAAGAACUAAAUUAAUGAUUGAUAGGGAUAGUUGGGGGCAUUUGUAUUUAACUGUCAGAGGUGAAAUUCUUAGAUUUGUUAAAGACAAACUACUGCGAAAGCAUUUGCCAAAGAUGUUUUCAUUAAUCAAGAACGAAAGUUAGGGGAUCGAAGACGAUCAGAUACCGUCGUAGUCUUAACUAUAAACUAUGCCGACUAGAGAU